CCCUCUACCAUCCAAAAAGCAACACUGCCCCCCACACUCCACACUUCCAUUCCUCACAGAACAUUCAUCAAACACUUGCAGCAAUGCCCCCAGAAACAAGUGAUCAUCGACGAUCAACAAAGCCACAGCAACUGGGUGGCGCGCCACCUCCCGAACCAGAACACCUCCCCUGUCCCCGCUGUGACUCCACCAACACCAAGUUCUGCUACUACAACAACUACAACUUCUCUCAGCCUCGUCACUUCUGCAAAGCCUGUAGGCGUUACUGGACUCACGGUGGCACUCUCCGCGACAUCCCUGUCGGCGGCGGUAGCCGCAAGAAUGCCAAGCGUUCCCGGCCUUCUUCUUCCAUUUUCGCCACUUCUGGCCAGGACUACCGCCACCUCCCCGCCGCCGCCACCCCCAUUUUCCUCCCCCUCUCCGGCGGUGAUCAUGGUGGGUCCCUCCCUUUUAUGAGCGACGUUAAGCAGGGUUAUAACAUGUGUGGCAGCUUCACUUCGCUAUUGAAUCAAGGGCCUGGGCUUUUGAGU
rnacentral:lncRNA from 1 species